GAAGACCUUGCCACAUUCAUUACAUUUGUUAGGUUUCUCACCGGCAUGAAUUAUCAGAUGUUGGGCAAGGUAUGAAUUGCGACUGAAGACCUUGCCACAUUCAUUACAUUUGUAAGGUUUCUCUCCAGUGUGGAUUCUCCAGUGAUUUACUAGGGAUGACUUGUGACUGAAGACCUUGCCACACUCAUUACAUUUGUAAGGUUUCUCUCCAGUGUGGAUUCUCUGAUGUUGUGCAAGGUGUGAAAUAUGAUGGAAGACCUUUCCACAUACAUUACAUCUGUAAGGUUUCUCUCCAGUAU
rnacentral:lncRNA from 1 species